CACUCGUCGCUGGCAAAAAGGCUUUUUCAACCCAAGAAUUACCCUCUGCCUACAUAAUUACUAUCCCUCCCCCAAUUUUCUCUUCAUUCAUUAGUUCCUAAGCCACUCUGAACACACAGGGGAGGUAGUAGAACCCGAGAUAUCCGAGUUUCCUAGGAAUCUUCACCAGAGAUAUCCCACCUUUGAAGAGGGGCUGAAGUGGAUCUUCAAGUAGUGGUGUACUUUAGCUUGUAUCUGUGGUCAAAGGUGUUCCAGUCGGUGGGUAUGCUGCUCCACGAAAAGGAAGUGGCCUCCAUGCUGGAGGUGGCAGCUACUAUACCUAGGAGGUGGAGCCUACUCGGGGCCGCUUUCUUCACCAUGAGACUCUCAUCCAGCAGCCGGCAGUAGAAACCCAAAAUUCAUUAGCGACAGGUUGCAGUUGAAGGCACGACGUCAGAAGGAGGCCAUUGCGUCCUUGGAAGGCUGUGUUUCGCAGCUUGAGGUUGAAAAGUUUGAGCUUCUAAUGCAACUAGCGGGGGUAAUGGAACAACUCUCCACACUAUUCACUGUAAAGAAAUGCCAAAAGUAAGCACAUGCUCCAAAAGUGACCCGCCGGGUUAUGGUGCCUUGGACGAAUAUCCGUGUAAGCAUCAAGGGUUUUGAUGUUAGAGUUUAGGUAAGCUUGGGUUCCUUUAUGGAUUUUUUUGUGCACGAUGUAUCCUUGUGUUGUGUCAGUUUAAGUAGAUUUGUGUUGUAUGAAUUCGUCUUACUUGUCCGGUACUGAGUGUCUUAGAGGCUGUAAAUACUUUGAGAUGAAUAUAAUUAUGGUAACCAGUUAGUCAUGGUAAACAUUGAUGUUUCGGUUAUCUAUUCGUGUAUGAUCCGUUGAUCAUGUAUCUGCUAAUAUUCCCUUGAAAAUUGUCGA